rnacentral:rRNA from 1 species
AGAGAGAGACAUGCGCGCAUAUCAAUAAGCGGAGGAAAAGAAACUAACUAGGAUUCCCUCAGUAACGGCGAGUGAAGCGGGAAGAGCUCAAAUUUGAAAUCUUCAAGGUUCUACCUUGACGAAUUGUAGUUUAAAGAAGUGUUUUCUGUUGGAGUUUUGGUAAAAGUUCUUUGGAAUAGGACAUCAUAGAGGGUGAGAAUCCCGUAUUUGACCAUUAUUUCCAGCUUUGUGAUACAGCUUUCAAAGAGUCGGAUUGUUUGGGAAUGCAGUCCAAAAUGGGUGGUAAAUUUCAUCUAAAGCUAAAUAUUGGCGAGAGACCGAUAGCGAACAAGUACCGUGAGGGAAAGAUGAAAAGAACUUUGAAAAGAGAGUUAAACAGUACGUGAAAUUGUCAAAAGGGAAGCGUUUGACACCAGUGUUGUUUUCUCGAAAAUCAAUUAAAAAAGGCAGGAUUUUGUGUUGUAUUGACUUUAUCAGCUUUCUGCACUCUUUUCUUGUCUUUUUUAAUGCACUUUUCGUUUAACAAGUCAACAUCAGUUUCUUUUGUUGUAAAAGGGUCAUUGGAAGGUGGCUUUCUUUUCGGAGAAAGUGUUUAUAGCCUUUGCCUCUGCAAUCGGAGAGAUUGAGGUCUGCAGCGUAGAUCCUUCGGGGUUAGAUACAUUUGUGCUAAGUUAUAGCCUUUUCAUAGACAACUUGUUGACUAUGAUCAGUCAUGUAGCUUACUCGCUUAUGCUAUUUUACCUACGCUUAGGAUGUUGAUGUGAUACUGCGAGCA